UCGGGAAUUUUGGGCAAUGGGCGAAAGCCUGACCCAGCAACGCCGCGUGAAGGAUGAAGUAUUUCGGUAUGUAAACUUCGUAAGAAUAGGAAGAAUAAAUGACGGUACUAUUUGUAAGGUCCGGCUAACUACGUGCCAGCAGCCGCGGUAAUACGUAGGGACCAAGCGUUGUUCGGAUUUACUGGGCGUAAAGGGCGCGUAGGCGGUGUGUCAAGUCAGUUGUGAAAUCUCCGAGCUUAACUCGGAACGGUCAACUGAUACUGUCACACUAGAGUACAGAAGGGGCAAUCGGAAUUCUUGGUGUAGCGGUGAAAUGCGUAGAUAUCAAGAGGAACACCUGAGGCGAAGGCGGGUUGCUGGGCUGAUACUGACGCUGAGGCGCGAAAGCUAGGGUAGCAAACGGGGAUUAGAUACCCAAGUAGUCCCUGAGCGGGCUGGCAAGGCGCAU
rnacentral:rRNA from 1 species